AUAUCGUCGGCAUGGAAGUCGGACUCUCUAACCAGAAGGCUGAAACCCAGGGCUCUGACAUUGUGACCAGAGAAUCCUUUUGAGCUGUUGGGAAUGAGGUUUACUAACUACAUAUGCACAGCGACACCUGCUGGCCUCCGUU